rnacentral:rRNA from 1 species
GACGAACGCUGGCGGCGUGCUUAACGCAUGCAAGUCGAACGGUAAGGCUCCAGCUUGCUGGGGUACACGAGUGGCGAACGGGUGAGUAACACGUGGGUGACCUGCCCUGCACUUCGGGAUAAGCCUGGGAAACUGGGUCUAAUACCGGAUAGGACCGCACCGUGAGGGUGUGGUGGAAAGUUUUUUCGGUGUGGGAUGGGCCCGCGGCCUAUCAGCUUGUUGGUGGGGUAAUGGCCUACCAAGGCGGCGACGGGUAGCCGGCCUGAGAGGGUGGACGGCCACAUUGGGACUGAGACACGGCCCAGACUCCUACGGGAGGCAGCAGUGGGGAAUAUUGCACAAUGGGCGGAAGCCUGAUGCAGCGACGCCGCGUGGGGGAUGACGGCCUUCGUGUUGUAAACUCCUUUCACCAUCGACGAAGGGUUUCUGACGGUAGAUGGAGAAGAAGCACCGGCUAACUACGUG